UUGAAUACAUUGACUUAAAAUUAGAUGAUGGGCUUGUGUGAGCGUUUAAAUGGUGUUUUACCGUGGCAACAGCAGGGAUUCUCCCAGACAGCAGCUGGAAGAGAGUCUGGAGGGGAUCACUGGCCGUUAGCUGGCCUGUAAACCUGCCAACAGAGCAGCCAAGGCUUUAUUACACACUGGCAGCAGAGCCACUGCUCUAAAGCGACACAUCACAUUUAAAGGCCAUCCCUACUGCCAGUCUGUACAGAAGUAAUGCACCAUCCUUACAGCUCAAAUUCUGCCCCUCAUGUCAAUCACAAAUCAAAUGACGGCCAAACCUCCCCCACACAUUCCUCUACUGACACCCAUACACAUGCUGCCCUGGGACAUGCUGCUGAUACUAAAAUAGUCUGGGUUACUUGAAAAACAGAUCAUAUAAACUGCAAUUUACUGAAUUCUCCCUGUUAAAGACAGAGCCCUCAAUCAGCACAAGCCUUUGAAAAUAAAGGAUUGCUCUGACUGUGGUGAGCAGAUAUUAAAAGGCUUUAAUUCCUACUAAAUAUGUCUAGCCAGGUGAUUUACGGUCUGAAGGAAAGUGUUAAUGGUCUCUGUUAUGUGCUGUCACGCGAGUACUUACUGCAGAUUAUAAAUAACUCUGACGGCAACAUAAACUCCUAAAAACAAGGUGCAAGUGGAUUCACAAAUGGAUUACCACUGAUAAAUCAAUAAUAAAUCACAUCCUUAAGUACACUCAUUUCAUUAUUCAAAGCAGCUCCUUAACACUGAUUGACAAACAAUUAUCUUAUGCAAAGAUUUUCUACUUUAGCUUUCUUUGAGAAUGAAACAAAUAUGAGGUGGGGUCAAAGUGUUGCACACAUUUGAUCUCUUCUUGUUUCCAUUACUGUAAUUACCGUCCUCAAAGUCUAAAUCAGGGACUUUAUUUUUGGCCACAGCGCUGUGGGAAAGCCAUGAGACUUGUUGCACAGAGUAGAUGUCUUGACAUGUCACAAGUAUAUCAAUGUGUGAGAUUGCAUAUCAAUCUGUUGAUUGCAUAAAUAUUAACAGUAGGCGCAAUUAUAUCCCAAAAAAAUGUAUUCAAAUUUUCUAUAUAUUUUGUAAAAAUCAUUUUAAAUUUCCACUAAUGAACAAAACUAAGAGUAGAGAGCCAUGCUAGCAGCUCUGUGAGUCUGCUGCUCUGAGCUAAAUGCUAACAGCAGCAUGAUAUGCCGGCAGUGACCGUACUAACAUGCUGAUACUAAGCAGGUUUACCAAGUGCACUAUUUUAGUUCAGCAUGAUAACAUGAGCUAGAUAGCACUGUAUGUGCAGUUAAGGCUGAUGGGAAUGUCAUCAUAUCAUCAAAGUCAUCACAAAAGAGCUGUGAAGUGAUUAAACCUAUGGCAGGAGAAUUCCACUGUAAACCAUCCGAGAUGAGAUUCUCCGAGAUGAGUAUUUAAAUUCAAACCUGCUGGGAACAAUCCGAUGUCUGUUUAGAAUCCAGUAGAUUUAGAGAACAUUCGCUGGAUAAAUAAACACGAUCACCUGCCGGUGGCACUAAAGGAAAAGUCAUGAUCACUAGGAGACAGUAAAAUCAUCCUCUCAGGACCAUGAACGUCUGCACAGAAUCUUAUGUUUUUUCAGUCUGGAUCAAAAGUCUGUCGCAGAGUGACACUGACAUCCUCACAGCCAAAUGCACUUUGAAACUGAAGAAUUCUCCAAAUACAGCUUCGACUGUUACACUGUCCACAUUUGCUUGUAGCUGUAGCACAAGUUUGAAGUAGACAUAAGAAAGCUAAGUAAUCUAAAAGGGGGCAUUUCGUCACAAAUUACCGCCUGCGUGUAGAGCUGUGUGCUGAUUUAUUGCAGCUGUCAUGUCUCAGAAGACUUCUCUCACCUGUUCAGCACGCCGGUGUAGGACCUGCUGUCCAUUUUGCUGGCCAGAAAAAGUGCAUGCCCCCACAGGCCGCUGCUCAUAGCUGACUCCAAGGCCUCCUGGGAACCACAUGGCCAGCAGCAGCUCAGUGUAGCUGUACAGGGCCUUCUCCGAGGUCUCAGAGCUGAAGCUGCAGGUUCCCGUGAGCAGGUCAUCUCCUGUUUGAGGUGGCGCUUCUGCGGCCGCGCCCUCACUGAAGUCAAUGAGCGUGGGGGCUUCUGGCUCCCAGCUUCCAUCUGAACGCUGUGGAUUUCCAGCUGACUGACGUUCUUCUGUGUGGAGAAGCCUGGAGUGACUCGAAUCAGCUGCCCUGCAGGUCCGAAGCUGACCACAGCGUGAGGGACCGAGUACUUCAGAGGAGCUGACGUCUGAUGUACGGGUCCAUGGUCUGAGGAGAGAUAUGAUACAUGACAGGACAUGUGUCAUGAUAAAUAAAUUAACCUGAGAGAAAAGACCUUUAACUGCACACUCACCUGCAUCAGAGGGGUGAACAGUCGGUGGCACAGAGUCGCUGUGUUCACUUCCAUCAAUGUAUUGACUCAGU